UAUAAUCUCAUCUUUCUCUGCCUUGUGUUACUCCGAUCUUUAACAUUACUAGCAGCUAGUAUGAAUAUUAAUUGUGAGUACAGAGAUGAAAAUGCUUGUUAUUUUCAUCCCACAGAAGUUGUUACGGGGGUGUGUCAUAUGUGCCUCAACGAAAAGCUUCUAGUCUUGGCUUCAAAGCAGAGUCAUCUCCGUAGCAGGAGUCUUUUCAGAAACUACAGUUUCAGUCAUGACCAGAAGCGUCCGGCCGUGGCUACCAGUUUACCAAAAUUGUUUGCUAUAUCUUCGUUGCUCAGCCGGUUCGAAUUUCGCCACCGGAAAUCUGAUCAUCUGGACUUUAGUGAUGCUUCUAGUCUUGAAGAUUCAUUCAUAUCAAUCAAGUUCGAAAACAACGGGGUAGGCUCAUGGGAGAAGAAUCCAAACACAGUUUCAAAAGUGUGUUUAGAGCAGUGCAACUCGCCAUCAGAUCAGAAGCAUAAGUUAGCGAGCAAUGAAGGCAAGGAGUACUCAACAGAGAGCACUAGUGUGGUGGAGCAUGUAAAGCCAAGAGGGUCGGCGUUGAGGUGGGGGAAGCGGAUCGGCCACAUUUUCAAGUGGAGGAGGAGGUCCAAUAAAGCAAGUGUAGUAUGCCAUGUGGGUGGGAGGCUGGAGGGAGCCAAGGGGAGGAAUAGUGGUUGGAUAAUAAGUCUGACCAAGACAAGGACCACAGAAUGAUUAUAGAAAAAGACAUGCAAAUUCACUCUCUUAAACCUGAGAUAUACUGUAUCUGCUACUGCUAUACAUGUAGCUAGCUAGAUAGCUUCCACCAUAUAUACAAACACAUGACUAUUGUUGAAGAUUAAGAUGGUAUGCAGGCCAGAUUUUACUUUAUAAUCAAUAAAAAUAUAUCUGUUA